UCAUUAUCAACCUUCAAGCCUGGCUUGUCGUUGGACUUUUGGUCACGGAGACGUGACCGGUCCGAAAGUGAAUGACGGUGUCGGUCUGACCCGCGGUGCAACGAGCCCUUGGGCACGCACAGGUGUGGCAGGCCGGCCUGGUCUCAACCAUGAUUUCUCAGGUUGACCUCGGAUCAGGUAGGAAUACCCGCUGAACUUAA
rnacentral:misc_RNA from 1 species